CAGUAGCCGCGGUAAUACGAAGGGUGCAAGCGUUAAUCGGAAUUACUGGGCGUAAAGCGUGCGUAGGCGGUGAGUUAAGUCUGCUGUGAAAUCCCCGGGCUCAACCUGGGAAUGGCAGUGGAUACUGGCUCGCUAGAGUGUGUCAGAGGAUGGUGGAAUUCCCGGUGUAGCGGUGAGAUGCGUAGAGAUCGGGAGGAACAUCAGUGGCGAAGGCGGCCAUCUGGGACAACACUGACGCUGAGGCACGAAAGCGUGGGGAGCAAACAGGAUUAGAUACCCGCGUAGUCCCUGUCUCUUAUAC
rnacentral:rRNA from 1 species